AUUGAACGCUGGCGGCAGGCCUAACACAUGCAAGUCGAGCGGAGCGGCGGACGGGUGAGUAGUGCCUAGGCAUCUGCCUGGGAGUGGGGGGUAACGUCAGGAAACGGGCGCUAAUACCUCAUCCUAUCAGAAGAGCCAAGGUCGGAUUCGCUAGUUGGUGGGGUAAAGGAAUACCAAGGCGACGAGCCGUAACUGGUCUGAGAGGCUGAUCAGUCAGACUGGAACUGAGACACGGGCCAGACUCUUACGGUAGGCAGCAGUGGGGAAUAUGGGAAAAUGGGCGAAAGCCUGAUCCAGCCAUGCCGCGGGUGUGAAGAAGGUCUUCGGAUUGUAAAGCACUUUAAGUUGUGAGGCGUUACCAACAGAAUAAGCACCGGCUAACUUCGUGCCAGCAGCCGCGGUAAUUC
rnacentral:rRNA from 1 species